UAUACGUUGCCUCGGCGGAUCAGCCCGCGCCCCGUAAAACGGGACGGCCCGCCCGAGGACCCCUAAACUCUGUUUUUAGUGGAACUUCUGAGUAAAACAAACAAAUAAAUCAAAACUUUCAACAACGGAUCUCUUGGUUCUGGCAUCGAUGAAGAACGCAGCAAAAUGCGAUAAGUAAUGUGAAUUGCAGAAUUCAGUGAAUCAUCGAAUCUUUGAACGCACAUUGCGCCCGCCAGUAUUCUGGCGGGCAUGCCUGUUCGAGCGUCAUUUCAACCCUCAAGCUCAGCUUGGUGUUGGGACUCGCGGUAACCCGCGUUCCCCAAAUCGAUUGGCGGUCACGUCGAGCUUCCAUAGCGUAGUAAUCAUACACCUCGUUACUGGUAAUCGUCGCGGCCACGCCGUUAAACCCCAACUUCUGAAUGUUGACCUCGGAUCAGGUAGGAAUACCCGCUGAACUUAAGCAUAUC
rnacentral:rRNA from 1 species